rnacentral:rRNA from 1 species
UGGGGAAUUUUGGACAAUUGGGCGAAAGCCUGAUCCAGCAAUGCCGCGUGUGUGAAGAAGGCCUUCGGGUUGUAAAGCACUUUUGUCCGGAAAGAAAUCCUUGGCUCUAAUACAGUCGGGGGAUGACGGUACCGGAAGAAUAAGCACCGGCUAACUACGUGCCAGCAGCCGCGGUAAUACGUAGGGUGCAAGCGUUAAUCGGAAUUACUGGGCGUAAAGCGUGCGCAGGCGGUUUGCUAAGACCGAUGUGAAAUCCCCGGGCUCAACCUGGGAACUGCAUUGGUGACUGGCAGGCUAGAGUAUGGCAGAGGGGGGUAGAAUUCCACGUGUAGCAGUGAAAUGCGUAGAGAUGUGGAGGAAUACCGAUGGCGAAGGCAGCCCCCUGGGCCAAGUACUGACGCUCAUGCACGAAAGCGU